AAAUAACAAUACAAGGCAAUUAAAAUGCUUUGUAAUUGGAAUGAUAGAAAUUUAAACCCUUUUUAAAGUAUCAAUUGGAGGGCAAGUCUGGUGCCAGCAGCCGCGGUAAUUCCAGCUCCAAUAGCGUAUAUUAAAAUUGUUGCAGUUAAAAAGCUCGUAGUUGAAGUUCUGCUAAAAGUAACCGGUCUGCUUUUAAUAAAAGUGGUAUCUUGGUGUGUAUUUAGCAAUGAUGUCCUUUGAAGUGUUUUUUACUUUAUUGUAAUAAAGCAUAUUCAGGACUUUUACUUUGAGAAAAUUAGAGUGUUUCUAGCAGGCCGACGCUUUGAAUACUGCAGCAUGGAAUAAUAAGAUAGGAUUUUAGUUCUACAUUAUUGGUUUUAAGAGCUAAAUUAAUGAUUGAUAGGGACAGUUGGGGGCAUUUGUAUUUA
rnacentral:rRNA from 1 species